GGCAUGUGUUUAUAACAUUUUUGCUAUUAGGUAAACAGCCCAAUUUUAUUUUUUUAUUUCUGUUGAAACUCUCUGGGAAGCUUUGCUCUGUAAAUGUAAUUAUCCAGAAUUGUUUUCUUACAUCCACCCCUGUUUUGACAGCAGAGCUGUAUUAUAUUGUUGCCAAUCUUUUAAUUUUUAGAUUGAAAUUGUACACAGUAGGCCUAUGUCAUUGUAUUAUGAGCAAAAUGAAAUAAUAAAUUAAACUAUCU
rnacentral:misc_RNA from 1 species